GCGGGCGUCGCCAAGUGGUAAGGCAAUGGCUUCCCAAGCCAUCAUCCGCGGGUUCGAGUCCCGUCGCCCGCUCCA
rnacentral:tRNA from 1 species